rnacentral:rRNA from 1 species
GUAGCUGGUCUGAGAGGAUGGCCAGCCACACUGGAACUGAGACACGGUCCAGACUCCUACGGGAGGCAGCAGUGGGGAAUAUUGGACAAUGGGGGCAACCCUGAUCCAGCAAUGCCGCGUGUGUGAAGAAGGCCUGAGGGUUGUAAAGCACUUUCAGUGGGGAGGAGGAUUGAUAGGUUAAGAGCUGAUUAAUUGGACGUUACCCACAGAAGAAGCACCGGCUAACUCCGUGCCAGCAGCCGCGGUAAUACGGAGGGUGCRAGCGUUAAUCGGAAUUACUGGGCGUAAAGGGUGCGUAGGUGGUURAAUAAGUUAUCUGUGAAAUCCCUGGGCUCAACCUGGGCAGGUCAGAUAAAACUGUUUGACUCGAGUAUGG